UAUUAGCUUCCGUUGGCUAGUCUGUAAUGCCCAGUAAAUCUAAACGAUGUUUAUGCUUGCUUUUAAAUGAUUUAAAUAUUUCGUUUGAUCAAACGUUUUAUGAAAUAUGUCUAAAACAUGGCUUGUUUUAAUAAUUUUAGAAACGUUAGAAUGUAACGUAUUCUAAUGGUUUAGAAAUUCAGUUUGAAACAGAUAACGUUAAUAUGAGGAAGAAUCGAGUACGUUUUAAAUAAAUAAUCGUUUGUUGUAAAAGUUGAAAUCAAACUGAUGCUUUUAAUAUCAUGUUUAGAUCAUGAAACUUUAGCCUUGAGUUCACAGACAGGGUCACAUAUUGUGAACUCUCAUUUGGUCUGUGUAAGUUACAGACAUUUUUAUCUUUUUCAAAUGUUUUUGAUGAUGCCCACUUAAAUCACAGUUUUGGCUCUUUUCCACAGACCCUGAUGGAUAAAAGAUGGAUAUUUUUUCCUGGAGAAGCUAAAACAAUGUCACUUUGAGGUUCUGAUACCAGCUUUUACAAAGUUAUUUACAGAGUUCACCAGACUUCUCUGUGUUAUUUCCUGACCAUGCCGAAAAGCUAUUUGAAACUUGGGCAUUGCAUUUUCCAGACAGAAUCCUGCACUUCCCAGCCAAGAACCAGGAGCAUCAACAAAUCACCUCCAGAACCCCAUGAUGAUAUUCCAACUCCUGUCUACAACAGUGGG